UCCCUUACCUGUGACUAACCCUCCCUGAAACAUUUGCCAAGAAGGCAGUGGCUGAUGUGUGUUUACUCAAGGCUGUGCAGGGGAAUCUCAAACAAUACUAAAUGUUCCUUUUCUGGAAAGGCAAAUAUUUACACAUCCAUGUAAAGUAUCUUGCUUGUGGCCUGAAAUUACACAUUUAGUGAAUAUAAAGGGAUUAGAUAUGGGCAUCCUAUGUUUUGCUAAAACUAACAAAUGCAAAUUUGUGGUCAAAAGCCAUGUCGUAAGAGACUACGGACUCUAUUUAAAAACUAACUAACUCAAUGGUAAAUAUAAGCACUGGGGGUAGCUCUAUAGGUGUAGGGGUGUGUCAGUAAUAAUUUUGCUAUUUUCACAGCUGUUAUUAUGAGCAUAAUAGCUGGCGGUGGUGCGAAAUGGCUGUUUUAUAAAUGUAUGAAUAAACAAGUUGUAGGUGGGAGGAGGACUUGACCACUCACUGGCCAAUCAAGGCUGCAUGUGUUAGUCUCAAGUUCUGUAGGUUAUUGAAGGUCUUUGCAUUGUCAUCAACUCCAAUUUGGCUUGGGGCACGGAAUAUUCUGUCCUAGACCAUUGUAGAUUGAUAAUACAGUUUAGUCAUUAGCAUAGGCUACAGUAACAAGUGAUAACACAAGUUUUAAAAAAAUAACAUCCAGUGUUUGCUCUAUUUUGAGUGUUGACAGUCAACCUGGUUAUAAUAGGCUUCAAUCAGUAUUGGCCUUUAGAUAUCGCGCUUAAAAAAGUCUGCCUUAAAUUGUAUUGUUUGUGUGAGGCACAUUCUCAAUAAGAAAGAUAUAGCCUAUGUCUACCGUUGAUACUGCAUAAUAGGACAGAAUUGUUUAAAUACAUUUGGAGUGUGUCUUCAAAUUUUUUUAAACAAAUCAAUACAAAAAGUUUAUGGGGGGCUCCCGGGUGGCGCAGUGGCAAAGGGCGCUGGUUAAGGGCGCUGUACUGCGCCACCAGGAGGUCCGUGGGGCGACGCACAAUCGGCCUAGCGUCGCCCGGGUUAGGGAGGGGUUGGCCGGUAGGGAUAUCCUUGUCUCAUCGCGCAACAGUGACUCCUGUGCACCUAGGUUGCCAGUUUCCUUAAUGUCAGAAAUUGGAUGAGUCAAUUACAGAUGCACGCUUACUGCGAGAAUCCAGACAUUGUACUCUGGCAACAAGUGUGACCUGCAGGAGCAGAGGGCAGUCCGUGAAGAUGAGGCCCGGAGUAAAAUAAAUAAAUAAAAGUUUAUGGGGAACAUUAAAAAAAGCACUUAUCUCUUGUUCCAUGUGCAUAUGGGCACUGUGAGUCAGGGCUGGAUAGGCUGCGCAUCCGUUGUCAAUAUCCAUGCAGUAUCCAACCGCGUUAGCUACUGAAUUUGCAUACUGAAAUUGGCACUUUGGCGCACGUUUUUAAAGACACUAAUUGGAUAUUGCCACCCCUCCCACCUCAUCUCAAGCGAGUUCAUACUACAGGUAAAUUACCGAUCCUGGCGCUAGGGUGUGAAAAUAGAACAGCCCUGGCUUUAACAGGUCUAAAUUGCAAACGAGCGUGCGUUUUGACAAUUGCACGAUCUUAAGGCCAGACGAAAAUAGAGCCCCCAGUACUUAGUUAUGAUCGUGUUAUGUUAAAAAGUUAUGGUGAGCUGAAUGGCCAUCUUGUGCGCGGAAAAUAUCUAAGUGACAACAUAUUUAAAGUUUUAGGACGGGUAAUCAGAUUAACAUAGCCCAGUCAUAAUGUUAUUGCUGAAUAUCAUAUAGGUAGCCAGUCUGAAGUCUCUCUUCCAGAUGCACAUCAUAUUGAGUUGUCAUGGUUGACUAGAUAUGACUCAUAUGUCAGAUUUGGUUAGUGUCGUUAUUUUUUAACGUUACCGAUGGCUCCACCGGUCUGAAAUCCAAUGUGUUUUUUAGAGAGCCAUGCUC